CACCAGCAAAUCACGGCAAGUAGAGAGACACCAAUUAGGAAGACUUUCUGUAAUGAAAAUGACCAUCUUCUUCCCUUGGUAGAAAUUAUGUCUCUUCAUGGUUCGGUGAUGGUCUCUGAAUGUCAAUCCAGAAUAUGCUAUGUUGAAAUGUUGGGUCAAUGUCUGAACCCUGUUCUUUUUUCCAAGAGGACAAUUGCCCAAUCUCCUCUCAAGCCAACAGAUAAGAGACAAGCCACUCACUCAAUAUCACUGUUUUAUUUCCGGAGCAUUCUUGG